rnacentral:pre_miRNA from 1 species
GAUGUACUCCCUCCGUCCGAAAAUACUUGUCAUCAAAAUGGACAAAAAGGGAUGUAUCUAGAACUAAAAUACAUCUAGAUACAUCCCCUUUUAUUCAUUUUGAUGACAAGUAUUUCCGGACGGAGGGAGUAUAUA